ACUAGGGGGGGUCAGCAUGAAUCUUGGGGGUCUACCUGAGCUGGCCAACCAUUGGCUUCUCCUAGACUGAAACCUCAUUUUUAGGAACUGACACUUGCCUGCCCUGUUUUUCCUUUCCUGAAGCUUUUCCGGUUUACCCUGGGUCCUAAGAACACCUCUUCCCCAACCCCCAUACCUCCCACGGGGGUCCCUGGGCGGCCCUGGCUGCACUCCCAGGAUGAGUCUGACAGGCAGAGCUGGGAUGGGCCCCAGAGAAAUGUGCUGCAUGUCAGAGCCUGUGCCAGGAUGAGGGGCCUGCUCCACUCCCCCAGUCAUCUCCCUGCAUGGGGUUCCCCAUAGCUCCUCCCAAAUAGGCGCAAAAAGGGGGGGGGGGGGUGCGUUCUUGCAGCCCUAACUGUGCCAGGCCCAGAUGGGGCUGACGCCUCCAUCACUAACAUCGCCCUUUUAAGAGCACCCCCCACGGGGAGGGGGGUGCUGCAGGCAGGUUCUUGUUGCAGAAACCCAGCAAUGUGCUGCUCCCCCAAUGACCUGCUAGGUAAGAAGACCCAGAUGCCUGCUCUCAACCUCCAGUUCAGAGGUAGGGGUCCCAGCGACCUCUGCAGAAGCCCCAUUUUCUGGAGUGAAGGUCCUGUAGCUGCUCUAAUUGUCUGGUUCACAUGCCCUGCAUUUUGGAGGGCGUCCCCUGUCCCUUCACAUAGGAAUGGGGCUCCCUUCCUCCAUGAGGACCUCUCAAAUAUGGUCUGAGAAAUUAUUUUUAUGGCAUCAUAAAUUGCUGAUGCAAAGGUAUGGCCCUUCAGGAAGAUUUGUUUGUUUAAGUCCUAAAAUGAAGAAUCAAGUUCUAUUUAGAACAGUGUUCAUCCUUCCCUUCCAUCUUAGAGGAAAAAAAAAAAUUUUUUUUUUUUAAUUUUUUUUUUGGCAGAACCAGCCCUUGUCAUCUUGUGCCCUAGGUCUCACUGACUGCCACUUGCCUUUCUAUGUCUCCUUGUUCUUCAGUUAGGUCUCUCCUGAACCUCCCCUCUCCCUCGCGUCCCUUUCUUUACCAUCCCUUCCCCUCGGUACCAACCUGCUCACACAUUUCCCAACUUCAGGCAGCUUCUUGCCUCUCCUGUCAAAUUACCAUCCCAUCUGGCUCCUUUCCCCCAAAGACUAAUCAAGGGCGGACACUUGCAGGCUCUGCUACCUCAUCAGCAUUUCUGUCUCCACCCCCCUCAGAAUGUGGAAUGUUCCAGACUGAGAGAGCACAUGAGGGAGCAGGAAGAAGGUCUGAAUGGCUGGAGUGCAGACUGAGGGAGGUAGAAUGGCUGGAGAAGUAGGCAAGGGAAAGAGAGGGCACCUGACCCUUAAUGCUGGUUUCCAGCUGUCAGGCCUCCCACGCACUUUCUCCACGUGCUCUAUCACCACUGCAGGGCCCCCAAACACAGUUUUUCUUAUCUGAGCAUCUCCAUCAAUCACUCCCAAUCUGAUCAUCUGACACUCCCAAUCUCAGUUUCACCCCAAAGAAACCCCUAGAGUCACCUGGACCACUCCACAGGCAGCUUUCCUGCACAGUCCCAUUGAGUCCUCAUCACUGCCCCCUUGACAGCAGCCUCAGCCUCCUUACUGGUCUGUAAGCUCCCAGUUCCUCCUGCAGGUGCACCUUCCUCUUGGAGCCAGAAUAGUCUACCAAAUGAUUCAGCCAUAAUUGUCCUUUCCCUGCCUGCCCCAAAAACCCAACUUCAGAUGUUUCCCUAAACUUACAAAGUCCAGACUUCUCAACCAGAAUCCAUGUUCAUCAAAAUGUGGCCCUUGGGCUGGGGAUGUGGCUCAAGCGGUAGCACGCUCGCCUGGCAUGCUUGGGGCCCGGGUUCGAUCCUCAGCACCACAUAGAUGUUGUGUCCGCCGAAAACUACAAAAUAAAUAUUAAAAAA
rnacentral:lncRNA from 1 species